rnacentral:rRNA from 1 species
UACGUAGGGUGCGAGCGUUGUCCGGAAUUAUUGGGCGUAAAGAGCUUGUAGGCGGUUUGUCGCGUCUGCUGUGAAAAUCCGGGGCUCAACCCCGGACUUGCAGUGGGUACGGGCAGACUGGAGUGUGGUAGGGGAGACUGGAAUUCCUGGUGUAGCGGUGGAAUGCGCAGAUAUCAGGAGGAACACCGAUGGCGAAGGCAGGUCUCUGGGCCGCUACUGACGCUGAGAAGCGAAAGCAUGGGGAGCGAACAGG